rnacentral:rRNA from 1 species
GACGAACGCUGGCGGCGUGCUUAACACAUGCAAGUCGAACGGAAAGGCCCUGCUUUUGUGGGGUGCUCGAGUGGCGAACGGGUGAGUAACACGUGAGUAACCUGCCCUUGACUUUGGGAUAACUUCAGGAAACUGGGGCUAAUACCGGAUAGGAGCUCCUGCUGCAUGGUGGGGGUUGGAAAGUUUCGGCGGUUGGGGAUGGACUCGCGGCUUAUCAGCUUGUUGGUGGGGUAGUGGCUUACCAAGGCUUUGACGGGUAGCCGGCCUGAGAGGGUGACCGGCCACAUUGGGACUGAGAUACGGCCGAGACUCCUACGGGAGGGAGCAGUGGGGAAUAUUGAACAAUGGACGGAAGCCGGAUGCAGCAACGCCGCGUGCGGGAUGACGGCCUUCGGGUUGUAAACCGCUUGCGCCUGUGACGAAGCGUGUGUGACGGUAAUGGGUAAAGAAGCACCGGCUAACUUCGGG